rnacentral:sRNA from 1 species
CUCUUUACACAUGGAAGUCGAACGGCAGCACGGGUGCUUGCACCUGGUGGCGAGUGGUUACCCGGUGAGUAAUGCAUCGGAACGUACCGAGUAAUGGGGGAUAACGCAUCGAAAGGUGUGCUAAUACCGCAUACGCCCUGAGGGGGAAAGUGGGGGAUCGCAAGACCUCACGUUAUUCGAGCGGCCGAUGCCUGAUUAGCUAGUUGGUGAGGCAAAGGCUCACCAAGGCGACGAUCAGUAGCUGGUCUGAGAGGAUGAUCAGCCACACUGGAACUGAGACACGGUCCAGACUCCUACUGGAGGCAGCAGUGGG